CCCGUCCCUCCGGCCCGUCGCCCCUCGGGCCGCGGCCGCACGGCCCGACCCGGCGGGCGGAGGACAAAACCCGGCGCGGCGCGCGCCAAGGAACGACCGUCGGAACAGGGCUCCGCCCCCGCCCGCGCGGCGGGGCGGCGCCUCGCUCUACUCGAAACUAUACGACUCUCGGCAACGGAUAUCUCGGCUCUCGCAUCGAUGAAGAACGUAGCGAAAUGCGAUACUUGGUGUGAAUUGCAGAAUCCCGCGAACCAUCGAGUCUUUGAACGCAAGUUGCGCCCGAGGCCAUCCGGCCGAGGGCACGCCUGCCUGGGCGUCACGCAUCGCGUCGCUCCGCGCCCCACGGGCGCCGGACGCGGAGAUUGGCCCCCCGCGCGCGAGCGCGGCGGGCCUAAGCACGGGCCGCCGGCGGGGACGGGCACGGCGAGUGGUGGACGGAAGCGCGGACUCCGCGCACGCGAGCCGGACGCCGUGGCACCCGGCCCCCAGCGGCACAGGGCCCUUCGGAACCCCACAGGGCGCGCGAGCCCUCCCCCGGGACGGGCGAGCCGCCUCGCACUGCGACCCCAGGUCAGGCGGGGCCACCCGCCGAGUUUAAGCAUAUCAAUAAGCGGAGGAGAAGAAACUUACGAGGAUUCCCC
rnacentral:rRNA from 1 species